rnacentral:rRNA from 1 species
GAUGAACGCUGGCGGCGUGCCUAAUACAUGCAAGUCGAGCGAACCUCUUCGGAGGUUAGCGGCGGACGGGUGAGUAACACGUGGGCAACCUACCUUGUAGAUGGGGAUAACAUCGAGAAAUCGGUGCUAAUACCGAAUAACACUUUUCUUCACAUGGAGAAAAGUUAAAAGUUGGCUUCUGCUAACACUACAAGAUGGGCCCGCGGCGCAUUAGCUAGUUGGUGAGGUAACGGCUCACCAAGGCGACGAUGCGUAGCCGACCUGAGAGGGUGAUCGGCCACACUGGGACUGAGACACGGCCCAGACUCCUACGGGAGGCAGCAGUAGGGAAUCUUCCGCAAUGGACGAAAGUCUGACGGAGCAACGCCGCGUGAGUGAUGAAGGCCUUCGGGUCGUAAAACUCUGUUGUUAGGGAAGAAUAAGUACCGUUCGAAUAGGGCGGUACCGUGACGGUACCUAACCAGAAAGCCACGGCUAACUACGUGCCAGCAGCCGCAGUAA